UCUGCAUAAAUUACCUGCACAUCUAAUAAUUGUUUUAUAAUAAACCUGCGAUAAUUUUGGGUCCCCGGUGGCCUGGUAGUAAGGUCCCGGCUUGUGAGCCGUAGGGUUUCAGGUUCGAGACCCGAAGAACCGUCGUGUAAGGGCGUCUGUUGCACGUUAAAUACGUCGUGCCAAACGACCUACCGCUGGUGUGGUGUGGCGUGGAGAGUGGGUGCCAGCUCAGGUGUCGUCCUCGUCAUCCGGUUCAAAAUUACGAGGUCCGUCCCAAAAUUACCCUGGUGUUGCUUUACAACAGGACGUUAAUACAACUAAACUAAAACGGAUAAGCGCAUAUCUCAUUAAAAUGGAUGGGUUCUCUUGUGCCCUUGCGGUAGAUGGCAGUUUCGACAGCCCCUUUUACUAACAGUAAAUCUGACAUACAUUCUUUGUCCGUUGAAGUGAAAUGUUUUCUUACAUGGUGUGGAAGA